rnacentral:rRNA from 1 species
UACGAAGGGGCUAGCGUUGCUCGGAAUUACUGGGCGUAAAGCGCACGUAGGCGGCUUUCUAAGUCGGGGUGAAAUCCUGGAGCUCAACUCCAGAACUGCCUUCGAAUACUGGAGCUUGAGUCGGAGAGGUGAGUGGAACUGCGAGUGUAGAGGUGAAAUUGUAGAUAUUCGCAAGAACACCAGUGGCGAAGGCGGCUCACUGGCCCGGUACUGACGCUGAGGUGCGAAAGCGUGGGAGCAACAGGG